CACACACAACAAAAAAAAAGGAACACUUGAGCACCAUCUAUAUAUCCAAUAACCAACAAAGCAUUUUAAUAUACUUGAUUACAAUUAUAUCAACAUACAUAUGAAGAUGAAAGAAGCAAUAUUGUGUUCACUAAUUGUACUAGGAUUUGUAGGAUUCGUGACUAUGCAAAAUAUUAUCCCUUUGAAAUCACUUAUUUGCUAUCAAGCCCAAGAUUUGUUAUCACCAUGCCAACCAUUUUUAUUGGGUUGUAGACAAAAUAUUACAGCAGAAUGUUGUCAAGGUUCUCAAAUUUUGGCUAGUCUUGUAAAAAAUAGUACAAUUGAUGAUAUUAAAGAUUUAUGUAAGUGUCUUCAAAAAAGUGGGAAUUCUUCUAUAAUUGAUGUUAAAAAGGGAAGAAAACUUUUCAAAGUUUGUAAGAUCAAGAGAGUUCCUAUUGGUCCACAAGUGGAUUGUGAUGGUAUUGGACAAUAUAUGGACUCCCAAAUUGGGAUUUGAGAAGGAAGUCCACCAAGCUAAUCUAAGUACUAUUACUUAUAUAUGUGUAUAAAUAUUGUAAACGUAUUUCCUUCCUAGCUACGUUUAAGCCUAAGUAUUGCAUCUUUUGACUUAAUUUUGUGUCAAGAAGAGUGUAUUGUCAGUGCUAUAUAUAUGAAAUAUAUAACAAAUAUUAUGAGUA